rnacentral:rRNA from 1 species
UACGUAGGGGGCAAGCGUUGUCCGGAAUUAUUGGGCGUAAAGAGCGCGUAGGCGGUCCGAUAAGUCGGCUGUGAAAGUCAGGGGCUCAACCCUUGGAAGCCGGCCCGAUACUGUCGGACUAGAGUCCGGAAGAGGCAAGUGGAAUUCCCGGUGUAGCGGUGAAAUGCGCAGAUAUCGGGAGGAACACCAAUGGCGAAGGCAGCUUGCUGGGACGGUACUGACGCUGGAGGCGCGAAAGCGGUGGGGAGCAAACAGG